AACGAACGCUGGCGGCAGGCCUAACACAUGCAAGUCGAACGCUCCGCAAGGGGAGUGGCAGACGGGUGAGUAACACGUGGGAAUCUUCCUAUUGGUUCGGAAUAGCUCAGGGAAACUUGGGGUAAUACCGUAUAAGCCCGUGAGGGGAAAGAUUUAUCGCCGAUAGAUGAGCCCGCGUCUGAUUAGCUAGUUGGUGGGGUAACGGCCCACCAAGGCGACGAUCAGUAGCUGGUCUGAGAGGAUGACCAGCCACAUUGGGACUGAGACACGGCCCAAACUCCUACGGGAGGCAGCAGUGGGGAAUAUUGGACAAUGGGCGCAAGCCUGAUCCAGCCAUGCCGCGUGAGUGACGAAGGUCUUCGGAUUGUAAAGCUCUUUUGCCAGGGACGAUAGUGACGGUACCUGGAGAAUAAGCCCCGGCUAACUUCGUGCCAGCCGCCGCCGUAAGAC
rnacentral:rRNA from 1 species